GACGAACGCUGGCGGCGUGCUUAACACAUGCAAGUCGAACGAAGAGCGAUGGAAGCUUGCUUCUAUCAAUCUUAGUGGCGAACGGGUGAGUAACGCGUAAUCAACCUGCCCUUCAGAGGGGGACAACAGUGGGAAACGACUGCUAAUACCGCAUACGAUCUAAUCUCGGCAUCGAGGAUAGAUGAAAGGUGGCCUCUACAUGUAAGCUAUCACUGAAGGAGGGGAUUGCGUCUGAUUAGCUAGUUGGAGGGGUAACGGCCCACCAAGGCGAUGAUCAGUAGCCGGUCUGAGAGGAUGAACGGCCACAUUGGGACUGAGACACGGCCCAGACUCCUACGGGAGGCAGCAGUGGGGAAUCUUCCGCAAUGGACGAAAGUCUGACGGAGCAACGCCGCGUGAGCGAUGACGGCCUUCGGGUUGUAAAGCUCUGUUAAUCGGGACGAAAGGCCUUCUUGCGAAUAGUGAGAAGGAUUGACGGUACCGGAAUAGAAAGCCACAGCUAACUACGUG
rnacentral:rRNA from 1 species